rfam:Hordeum vulgare subsp. vulgare, WGS project CAJW01000000 data, contig: morex_contig_1587493
GAUGUACUCCCUCCGUUUCAAAAUUCUUGUCUUAGGUUUGUUUAGAAAUGAAUGUAUCUAAAUAUUAAAACGCGACUAGUUAGAUUCAUAUCUAGACAAAUCUAAGACAAAUUUUAUGAGACGGAGAGAAUACAAA